rnacentral:lncRNA from 1 species
GGCGCUGGCCUCUCGGGAACAGAAGGGGCCUGCCCUGCAGGCUCACCAAGAGCCUACUUUGCCAGAACUCCCAGGAUUGGCCACUGGAGAGGCCAUUGGACAGUGCCUGGGGACGCCGGCCCUACACAGAUCACCCACUGUGAGCCCAGGCUAACAGUCUACAUCUCAGCCCAACUCCAGCAUGGGCGGGACACCCACUGCAAGGGACCUCAGUCCUCCGAUGACCCCAUCACUCCAGGCGAUGAUAAGGCGGACACUGAAGCUGCCCAACGAACACCCCGGGCCACACGGCUCCUAGCUGUCCCACCCACAUCCCUCCAGUAUGACCGCCGGAAAAACAAAAGUGGCUCCAGCAGGGUGC